rnacentral:lncRNA from 1 species
GUUUGUUUCGCCGUCUUGCCGUAUUUACUUUUAACCAGUUCUCUGUGGACCAAUGGGAUAGACUGCACAAGAAGUCAUUUGCCAUAGUAAUUAAAUUGGUGCAAUAACCGGACGAAAUGAAAACACUUGUGU